AUUGAACGCUGGCGGCAUGCCUUACACGUGCAAGUCGAACGGUAACGGGCCUUCGGGUGCCGACGAGUGGCGAACGGGUGAGUAAUGUAUCGGAACGUACCUUUCAGUGGGGGAUAACGUAGCGAAAGUUACGCUAAUACCGCAUAUUCUGUGAGCAGGAAAGCAGGGGAUCGCAAGACCUUGCGCUGAUUGAGCGGCCGAUAUCAGAUUAGCUAGUUGGUGAGGUAAAGGCUCACCAAGGCGACGAUCUGUAGCGGGUCUGAGAGGAUGAUCCGCCACACGGGAAAUGGGACACGGUCCAGACUCCUACGGGAGGCAGCAGUGGGGAAUUUUGGACAAUGGGGGCAACCCUGAUCCAGCCAUGCCGCGUGAGUGAAGAAGGCCUUCGGGUUGUAAAGCUCUUUCGGCCGGGAAGAAAUCGUAUCAGCUAAUACCUGGUGCGGAUGACGGUACCGGCAUAAGAAGCACCGGCUAACUACGUGCCAGCCGCCGCUGUAAUAC
rnacentral:rRNA from 1 species